GAUGAACGCUGGCGGCGUGCCUAAUACAUGCAAGUCGAGCGAACAGACGAGGAGCUUGCUCCUCUGACGUUAGCGACGGACGGGUGAGUAACACGUGGAUAACCUACCUAUAAGACUGGGAUAACUUCGGGAAACCGGAGCUAAUACCGGAUAAUAUAUUGAACCGCAUGGUUCAAUAGUGAAAGACGGUUUUGCUGUCACUUAUAGAUGGAUCCGCGCCGCAUUAGCUAGUUGGUAAGGUAACGGCUUACCAAGGCAACGAUGCGUAGCCGACCUGAGAGGGUGAUCGGCCACACUGGAACUGAGACACGGUCCAGACUCCUACGGGAGGCAGCAGUAGGGAAUCUUCCGCAAUGGGCGAAAGCCUGACGGAGCAACGCCGCGUGAGUGAUGAAGGUCUUCGGAUCGUAAAACUCUGUUAUUAGGGAAGAACAAAUGUGUAAGUAACUAUGCACGUCUUGACGGUACCUAAUCAGAAAGCCACGGCUAACUACGU
rnacentral:rRNA from 1 species